UACAGUUAAAACUCCGCUACAGCAACAACUCCGGUGCCGUCACCUCGGCUCAUUAUCUUUUCAAAAUGUUUGCCUAUGUAAGGUUUUUAGAAGACAACUAUAGGACAAUUGUCCCAACGACCUCCAUCAAAGAUUUUGUGUUCAACAAAGUCAACCCCAAAAGUACGUGGUGGGUGCUGUGGACCGAUGGGGCGUACUACCAAGCCCAGAUACUGCUAAUGUCUGGUCAGGGACACCACCUCUACUUUUAAAAAAAGAGCUUCCCCCCUGCAGAAGCACAGCCACACACAUCUACGACUGUGGUCAGGGACACCACAUCUCCAUUUUAAAAAAGGUGCUUCCCCCCUGCAGAAGCACAGCCACACACAUCUACGACUGUGGUCAGGGACACCACAUCUCCAUUUAAAAAAAGGUGCUUCCCCCCUGCAGAAGCACAGCCACACACAUCUACGACUGUGGAUUUUUUGGUCACCUCGGAGGAUGAGGAUGUUUUGGUCACCCUGGAGGAUGAGUUUUCAGAUAGAUACGAGGAGGCUCUUAAGGCCAAUAAAGCCUUAAAACUGGAAAAUGCACG